CGGAUGUCCGGUCUUUGUGCGUCUGGGAGCAGAAGUUUCCCAGAUUCACCGAGUUAAACAUCUUUCCCCCGUACUCGGUACUAUAGAUAGAUGUUUUGGAUUCGAACUGCAGAAGGGGGAAAUUUAGGAAGGCAAGAUGACGCGCAAUCCGUCUAAGUCGCCAAAGACACGUGAUCGAAAGUAGAUAUUGUCAUAUAUCAAUUUGGAACACUUGGAUGUGUAGUAGUUCACUUAGGUAAGAUCUAGGAGGUUCAAACGAUUAAUUUAAACACCACAGGAGCACUAAGAAAACCAGUAACAUAAUCCUGUUUGUUGGCUUAGGUUAUGGCAAUUAUAAAGAUAAGCUUGAGUAUGAGGCUAUUUAUGUAUGAGAGUGGGCUAGGGUAGCAUAGUUUAGCAUGUGAUAUAGCAGACUAAAUUUGAUUUUGAAUUCUACAGAGCUGGAGGAGAAUAGCCGAGGCACUCAAGACCAAGGUUCCAGGCUGAACGUGGUGGAGAGAAGAGCACAAGUGAAAUUUAACCUUGGUCGACGACGGCUGUCUUAACAGCUGUAAUCCACCAACCGCGGAGUGUAAAAUAUAAAAUAAUCUUAACUUUGAAUUGCAGAAAUGAACAGUGUUUUAGAAAAUGAUAGUCUACUCGAGAGGUGACCUAGCUAUAUUUAAGCUAAAAGUCUAAAGGAGACCAUUUCUUUUGUUUUGAAUUAGGCUUGAGGACAUAUUUCUGCUUAGGCCCCACAGUCUCACUGGGCAACACAUGAAUCGAUUUGUCAUGGAAUACUUUCACUCUGACAGCUGUUGAGAAGUCAGAAAUCCUUUACUGUAUGUAUGUCUUUAGGGCUACAUCGUGUAACUACUGUACAUAGAUGCCUGAUUAAAUAUGCAUUGUUUUCCGGAGAGAAAACAAAUCUCG